GACAGAGGUGCCGAGCGUUAGGCGGAAUCACUGGGCUUAAAGCGUGUGUAGGCGGGCCGUUAAGUACCUUGUGAAAUCCCCCGGCUCAACCGGGGAACGGCUGGGUAUACUGGCGAUCUUGAACCACCUAGGGGCAGUCGGAACAAGUGGUGGAGCGGUGAAAUGCGUAGAUAUCACUUGGAACGCCAAUGGUGAAAACAGACUGCUGGGGGUGUGCUGACGCUGAGACACGAAAGCCAGGGGAGCAAACGGG
rnacentral:rRNA from 1 species